GGAUGCGAUGCUUAUGUCAAGAAACUUCAACCUGAAAAGCUCGAACCCAAGUCGGAAAAAUGCGUCUUCAUAGGAUACCCUAAGGAAACCAUUGGGUAUACCUUCUAUCUAAGAUCCGAAGGCAAGAUCUUUGUUGCCAAGAACGGGUCCUUUCUGGAGAAAGAGUUUCUCUCGAAAGAAGUAAGUGGGAGGAAGGUGGAACUUGAUGAAGUACUACCUCUUGAACCGGAAAGUAGCGCAGCUCAGGAAGAUGUUCCUGUGGUGCCUGCACCGACUAGAGAGGAAGUUAAUGAUGAUGAUCAAGGUACUUCGGAUCAAGUUACUACUGAACUUCGUAGGUCCACAAGGACACGUUCCACACCAGAGUGGUAUGGCAACCCUGUCCUGGAAAUCAUGUUGUUAGACAAC
rnacentral:rRNA from 1 species